GACGAAGGGGGCUAGCGUUGUUCGGAAUUACUGGGCGUAAAGCGCGUGUAGGCGGUUGUUCAAGUCAGGUGUGAAAGCCUUGAGCUCAACUCAAGAAAUGCACUUGAUACUGGAUGACUAGAGGACCGGAGAGGAUAGUGGAAUUCCCAGUGUAGUGGUGAAAUACGUAGAGAUUGGGAAGAACACCAGUGGCGAAGGCGGCUAUCUGGACGGUUUCUGACGCUAAGACG
rnacentral:rRNA from 1 species